CGGGACCCGGAAGCCGCCGUCACGUGCGCGCGGGAUAAACACGGGAAGAUGGCGCCGGCCACGCUGCGCGGCGCUGCUGCGUCACAGCGAUCCUCCGCGGACCGCGGAGAGAACAAAGGCGGGGCGGCCGCCGGCGCAGUGCUUUCAGAUACGUGGCCUUCAGUGGUGUGUGUCAUGGCACCUCGAGAUGGACGGGUCACCUCUGAGUCUGCAGGUCAGGGCCACGCGCCCAGGGGCACCUCCACACCUGCCAGGAGGAGUGGUUUCCCAUGGCGACACAGCCUUAGGUGGGUGUAAUUCUUCGUCGUCCUCUUCCAUGUGGGGUCCUUCCUUGCUGGGGUGAGUUCCUGAGGUCCCCUUUUUCCUAAUUCAUUUAACAGGCUUUUUUCUCUUUUAUUUAUUUAUUUAUUUAUUUAUUUAGAGACAGGGUCUCACUAUGUAGCCCAUCCUGGUCUUGAAAUCACUGUGAUCCUUCUGCCUCAAGCCUCCCGAGUGCUGGGUUGUGGAAUUAUACAGCAGUAUAAUUCUUAAAAGAAAAAUACAUAGAUUGAAGAAGAGAUGUUUUAGGUAGAUUUUGCUUUAUAAAAAAAUUAUAAUAAUUCCCAGAAGAAACAAAACUGCAUUUUUAAGCACGUGUUUGUAAACUGCCAUUUAACUUUUCCUCCCUGGAGAGUGCUUGCAGGUCAGCCCGAGAGAAAGUUCCUUUAAAAGCUCGCCGGUGAGGCUGUGCUUUUCACUGUGCACCCUGAGCAGCCCAGACCGUCUGUCGUGGGGAGCCUUGUAAGGGUCCCUGGAUCCCCCAAGAGGACGGUGGGGCGCCGCUCGGGCUCCAGCAGGCACGGCCAGUGAGGCUGCCAUCGGCUCUCCUCACAGAUGUCGGUGUGGCCACCAGCAGGAGCAGGAGUACAUCCCCAGCGUCCAGCAGGGCCACGAGGUGUGUCCUAACCCUCCUGUCCAUCCGUCCAUCCAUCCACCUAUCCAUCCAUCCACAGGAGCUGUGGGCCAAAUACCAGCCGGGAGACUCGGGGGUCGGUUGGUUUCCCUUCCUCUCUCAGUCAAGUGGGGAGGAGGUGGAAGCCACUGCUGGCCCUCAGGAGAGGCUGGUGAGUGAGUCAUCCUUCCGCAGGAAGUCCUGGGGCCGGCAGGUGACAGCGGCACUGGUGUGAUGCCAAGCCCUGGUCCACUCCCUCCCCUCCCGUCCCAAGGAGGUGGUGCCCUGUGGUCCUCCUGGUAGGGAGCUCCCACAUGCAUGAGGAUCCUGGGAGGGGUCAAGCGGGAACCUGAACCACAGAGCUGCUUCCUCCCCCAACACACAGAAAAACCACGCAAGGGCCCUGGUGACCCACGUCUGUCAUCCCAGCAUGCAGGAGGCUGAGGCAGGAGGAUCUCUGUGAGUUUGAGGUGGGCCUGGGCUCCAUAGGGAGUUCUAAGCCAGCCUGGGCUGAGUGUAAGACCCUGCCUCGAACAAACAGGCUGCGCAGAAACCCGACUGGUGAGCUCACCGGCCUUUCCUGUUUCAGCCUCCCGCCCACCAAGGAAGAGGAAGAAGAGGAGGAGCGCGCCGUCCUGCCGGCUGCCCUGGCUCAGUUAUCACAGUGCUGAUGCUGUGUGCUCCAAAGGUACAGUACUGUGAUAACUGAAGGAUGGCAGCCACCUCGCGGCCACGCGCCCGGAGCCCACAAGGGAGGAGGGCCGACGAAGACUGCUGUGGAGGGGGCCUGCACCCUGAAACCCAAGCACCCUCCUGGCCUGAGACAGGGUUGUUCCAGGGCUUGGCCUUGGUUUGUUUCUCACCGUGCAGUUCACGCUGGGCUAGAACUCAUGAUGGAGCCUGGCUGGCCUCGGAGCGGGGUGACCCUCCUGCCUCAGCCUCCCCAAUGCUGGAGUUGAACCAGCCCUGUGCCGUCUUGUUUUGUAACAUGUCCAAGGUGGUUCAUUGGCAGUGUGAAGGUGACAGUGCCAGGCUAACACUGGAGGACCAGGAAGCCUCGGGUGUUCAGGGGUCAACAUAGGGAGGUACAAGUGUGCGUAAGGGGGCUGGGUGUGGUGGUGCACACCUGUGAUUCCAGCACUCGGGAGGCUGAAGAAGCAGGGUCGCUGUGAGUGUGAGGCCAGCCCGGACUACAAAGUGAUCACAAGGGCAGCGUGGGCUAAAAAGCCAGACUGCAGCUCACAGUGAGAAUUAGGCUUCCGGAAGUGUGUGCUGCAGUGAAAGUGUGCACCAUGAGCUGUACACACCUGCACUUGUCCCUGUGCUCCCAGCUCCCCCGGUGUAGCGAGGAGAAAAGCCUCUGCAGUGACCGGUGAUGAUAUCUCAGGGUUAAAUUCGUCUCCGGGAGCGGCUGUCCUGUCCCCCGAGAUGGUUACAGUCAGUCUGAUUCCAAAGGUGUUUACUGCUACUGCUGCUGCUGUCCCUUUUAUGUGAAAAUAAAGUGUAAAAUUGUUCUUGUCACUAAAGAAGAACCACCCUGGUGGUGCACACUCAUAAUCUCAGCACUUGGGAGGCUGAGGCAGGAGGAUCGCUGUGAGUUCUAGGUCAGCCCAGGCUGCAUACCUAGACUCUAUCUCAAAACAACAAAAAACAACCCACACUCAGUGGGUCCUGUCCUUCUCCAGCCUGGGUCUUGGGUCCCUCACCAGAACCCACACAUGAAUGCAGGGCCUGGGCUCAGGUAAGUGGGAAUGGGUAGAGGGGACCUCGCUCUCCCCUGCAGCACCUCCUCUUGGUGGAUCGAGCUCCAAAGCCGUGACACAGGCUGCGGGUGUUCACAUGCCUGUGCUCAUGCCUGGCCCAGGGCAGCCCAGGCAUCCCCUGAGCACAAACAGGUGAGCAAGGUGUGACACAGGAAGGUGGUAGAGUAUUACUCAGCCAUGAAAAAGUGGCAGUUCCUCAGAGCAGCAUGGUGAGCCUCUCAGGUGCCCUGUGGAUAAAAGAACCCAGACUCAGCGAGGACCCAUGUGUCCCCACCGGAGCCUCCAGAGCCCCUCAGGCAGCAUGGGUGGCCUUGGACACCAGGUGGGCGGGAAUCAGGGUCACGUGGGCCCAGACUUUGGUUGGGGGAUGAUGGGUACCUGGAGGUGGGUGGCGAAGCUUGUCCAGUGGUGGGAAGGGACUCAGAUGCUGCAGAUUUUAUGCCUGUUUCACCACAAUUCAAACACCUUGUGGGCCGGUGGCACUGCCACUUGUCACUUCUGCUCGCUUUCCAGGUGGCUGCUUCCCCAGGUGAGGGCAGCACCAUGGCCUCCCUGGCCGUCGCUGUGGUCAGUGCUGUCACCUUCCAGUCUGUGACCCUAGAUUCACACACUGCAGGGCUUGUGGGGCCAUAAAUGUCAACAUAGCAGGACCAGAGACUUAAGAGCGGCGGGAAAAGCCUGCCGGAGAUCAGAACCUGGAGUCCCCUGCAGGCUCUGCCCCUGGAAGUGACCCUGGGCAACUCCCUGACCACCACCCUAGAGCUGAGGGAGGAUGCAGUCCCAUGCACAAAUCCAUCUUGUCUACCUGACCAAGGUGGGAGGCCAGGUCCUCCUGUGGGAGAUGCACUGUCAGUCUGGACAGCAACCGUGGGAUUUGUUAAGUUUUGGAGACAGGGCCUCACUGUGUUGUCCAGGCUGGCAUAUGGCUCCCAGACACCCUCCUGCCUCAGCCUUGGAGUGCUGAGACCACAGCUUCUUGGAGCAGCUGGCCACCGUAAUGGCCACACUGAGUGAACCUGUUCCUUCUGCCUCAUUGCUUGGCGAGACUGCAAGCUUGGGAUGUUUCUGCCCAUUGGGUAGCUGAUUUUUUUUCCCCUAAAGGUUUCUUUAAAAACCAUCCUGCCACCAUGCCUGCCAGCACUCAGGAGGCUGAGACAGGAGGGUCCCUGUGAGUUUGCAGUCAGCCCAAACUAUAUAGCAAGACCCUGCCUCAAAAACAGGGGAAAGAAACCAGUGUCCUUCGCCACAGACUUGGCCUCUUCAAUCUGGGUUCAGGCCAAGCAAACUGGUCAGGAGCGUCUUUCACAAACCGGACCUAGCUCCACAGCAGCCCUGACCCAUGGAUUGUACCAGGUCACACCACAGAGGUGGCCGGCCAUCUUCCUCUCCAGUUUCGGCCUCACUGCCGCCUGCUUCACAGAUCUGCACUGCAUUCACCCGGCCUCGGUCCCCGGCUCAGAGCCCUGCAGCCGGGCUCACUGAGCUACAUGCAUGUGUUCAGUGCGGGGGAUUCCUCUCACUGGAAUGGAGGACACAGCUGAUGGGUGGGUUUGGGUUUUUUUGUGUGUAUGAGACCGCCUCACUAUGCAGUCCAAGCUGACCUCGAACUCACUGUGUAGCCCAGACUGGCCCCAAACUCCUGGCCAUCCUCCUGUCUCAGCCUCCCAAGUGCUGGGGUUAUAGGUAUGUGCCUCCACCCCAGGCCAGCUGAUGUGUGGUGCAUGCAGGCUGCUAUGGUACUUUGAUCUCUGGUGGGGCAAUGAGAAAUGAGGUGCUGAAAAGUGAAGAGGAGCCAGACCUGGUGUGGCCCUGUCAUCCAGUUACUUGGGAGGCUGAGACAGGAGAAUCUCUGGAAUUCAGGAGUUUAGGGCCAGCCUGGGAAAUACAGACCAUGACUUUAAAAAAUAAAGUCCUCAGUGGGUCCAGUUAGUAUUCGUGGUCAUUUCCAGCUACUGUCCUUGAAAGUCAAAUUACAAAAUCACUUCACAACCUGUCACUUGGAGCUUCUCUUUGCACUUUGAAACGAGGACCUGGGUCAGUCAGGCCGCUGUGGGAGGAACCUUGCACCUCCCCCAGUCCUCCCGGGACUGAAGAGCUGGGCCACUGUGGGCUCCAGGUAACAGGCUUUCAGCCACGGUGGUUCAGGCUCAGGUCUUGAGGGAAGACUCGAGUUUGCAAGUUCAGCUGGGCAUGGCAGCACAUGCUAGCAAUCCUAGCAUUUGAGAGGCUGAGGCAGGAGGAUCACCACAAGUUAAGGGCAGCCUGGGCUGCAGGGUGAGACCCUGUGUGAAAAAAAACAAACCAUAAAUAGUCCCUACUUUCCGUGGCCCAGCUUCCCAGAUGUCAUCUGGGCUGCAUUGGUGCCUUGGUCCCCACAGGAGAGAUGGACAGAGGUCACCGCCCAUCUCACUGGCCCUUAGUGCAAAUCCCACUCCUGGGCCCAGAAGCUAAGACGAGGGGUGGGUGCCUGCCUUCAUGGGAAGAGGAGAGUGACCAAGAGGCCAGGGCAUGGGCACCGAUGCUUUUUGUCUUAGUUACUUUUCUCUCCUUGCUGAGACAAAAUUCCCAAAGCCUCUCCUGUGCAGCUGCCCUGUCCGACAUUGUCCACCCUAACACGGAAGUCACAUUGCCAGUACAGGGCCAAGGGGCCCAGGGCAGCUGCUGGUGUCAGAGAAGGAAACUCAGAGGUCGUUUACUCGGCUGCUUUUCAGGUUGUGGCUCAGGUCAUUUAAGCGUGCUUGCCGGGUAUGAUGGUACAUGCCUGUCAUCCCAGCACAGAGAGGCUGAGGCAGGAUCGCUGCAAGUUCCAGGCUAAUGUAGACUCCAUAGUGAAACUUGACUCUAGUGAGACCCUGUCACACACACACACACACACACACACACACACACACAAAAAAAAAAAAAAAAAAAAAAAAAAAAAACCCAGAAAAAAUUUUUUAAGCAAUGGCAAAGUUUAAUUGAAAGUCACAGUGAAGUGUAAGAGAGACAAGCAGAGUGAGCUCGGGCUGAGUCAGGGGAAAGCAGGGUGAGGGCGACCACAGGCCACAGGCAGGCUGUGGCAGAGGAAGCCAGGGCAGCCGAAUGUAACACGUCCUAAAAACCCUUGCUCUCAUUUUGCCCAGAUGACCACCCGGUUCUCACCACCCCGGCAUCCCCUCCCUGCCAAGCAAGGACCUGCAGGGAAGUGCGCUCCAGGGCCUCAGCGGGGCGGCCAGAACCUCUGGCUCGAGGUCUGCUGCCAUGUGUGUCUGAGCAACUCUGGACCAGGAACUGGGCCGCAGCAGCCUGGCCGUUUGUGUCACCUCCUCAACUGUGGAGCUGGGGAACAGACCAUGGAUCACAGAUCUGGGGCCCAGGGUGACGCAGUCACCUGUCCACAGCAGUCGGGGUGGGGCAGGGAUGAGUGCCCGGCCGCUGUGUCCUGUUGGGCUUCUCCCUCCACACCAUUCUGAGGAGCAACAGUGUUGCUGGGUGGGGGUUAGUGAGUGAAUACUAUGUGCCAGUCUGGCAUGUGAUGGGCAGGAAAGGGGUACAGUGGCUCGUGUUCUGCUCCUCUCAGGUCCACCUUCAUAGCUGAGUGGCAGCAGAGACCCGGGCUUCGGCCCACUACCUCUACCUUGAGCCCCGAAGUUUUGAGUACAGACUUAAAAACUCUUGUAGCAAUGUGAUGGAGUAAUUCUUUUUUUAGUCUUUUUGAGACAGGGUCUCGCUAUACGGUUCAGGCUGGCCUUGAGCUUACUUUGUAGCCCAGGCUGGUCUCAAACUCACAAUAAUCCUCCUGCCUCAGCCUCCGGAGUGCUGGGAUUACAGGCAUGAGCCACUACACCCAGCAGACAGAGUAAUUUUAUGUCUGUCGAAUGUGAUAAUAAAAAUACUGGCUUCAAUUUGUUUCUCUCAAAAAUGUCCUGAACUUUUUAAUUGUAUUUUUGUAGACAGACUGAAAACAAGAACAGGCUGAUCUUUCACCGUGGGUCACAUGAGAAACCCUGGCAGGGAUGCAGCUGAGCCCACAUCCGCGCCCCUCAAUGUCUGUUAGUGCUGGUCCGGUGCUGAGGGGUCACAGCUGUCCCUGAAAGGGGCAGAUUGCUAGACCUGGCCCCUGCAGCAACAGAGGGGUGACUGCGUCCUCCACAGUACUUGGAGGACCUCCAAGCCUGGCCGAGAGUCCCUGGUGUUGGGGCUGCUGGCACCAGUGAACACCCAAAGCCCUGUUUACUCUGGAAUUUGCAAGAGUGGGUGGGGCGAGAUGAACUGGGGUUUUCCCCUCGGGACUAUAGGGGGUCUUUCCUGACACAGAGGCCCCUGUGAGAGAGUCCAGUGGCAAACAGAGGAAAUCCUCCUCUCCCAGCUUCCCAGUCUGCGUGGCCAGGGAGGAGACAGAGAUGCUGGGCCAGGUGUGCUGGCAAGGGGCAGGGCUGUCUGGGUGACCUGCUGGCUCCCUGCAGGAGAGCCCUCUUGGGGCACCUCACCCAUUGGUCUCUGGCAGGUUGCUGGAAUCUUCUGGAAUUCCCAGGACCUCAGCCAAGGAGUCGGAGGCCGAGCGCAGCAGAGCAUUAAUGAGUUGAGUGUUUCCUUAUGUUGUCCUGGUUUGUCCUCCCAUUGAGUGAGCUCGUCCAACUCCUUGCACCAUGUGACCGUGGAAUGCACCCUCCAGAGAAAUACGGCCUUGUUUUUCAUUCUGAGCACAAUGGAAAGAUUUGAAAAUUGUACCGAUGAUGCUAAUAAUAAGAGCUAGCCGUGCAUGCUGUGUGACUGCUUCACCUGGCCCUGUAUUUAUAGAUGUUGUUUUCUGUUUUGUUUUUGUGGUGCUGGGGUCAGAUCUAUGGCCUUGUGUAUGCUGAACUACAUCCAAACCCCUGCACGUUUGUCCACCUUUUUGUUUUUUAAGAGAUAAGGUCCUAGUGUAUUACCCAGGUUGGCCCCAAACUCCUGGGCUUCGUGAUCUUACUGCCUGAGCCUUCUGAGGCCCCUAGCUAUGUAUGUGUCAUGGUGGUCAGCUAUUUAUUAUUGCUGGUCAAAUGAGAGGGAAACUAAUCAAAAACAAGGUCACUCGUCCUGCCAUGGCUCAGCUCCAGCAGGCGCCUGUGUGUAUUUGGUUAUUAGGAGGUGGUGGUGCUGGGGAUUGAAUCCAAGACCUUCAUGCUGCACUAGAUCUCCAAACCACUUAUUUUUUUGUUUGAGACAGGGCAUAACUAAGUUUCCCAGCCUGACCUCAAACUAUCUGUGAUCCUCCUGCCUCAGCCUCCUGAGUGCUCAGAGUACAGGGGUGCACCACCAUGUCCAAUGAGACCCACGCUCUUAAAAAGAAUAAGAACAUACUGAGUUGAUGGCCAGCUUGAACUGCAUAACAAGAACACCAGAAAUUUAAAAAAAGAACCAAAGUUUGCAUUUCAAAAUAGAAUCAGUCUGUAAUAUUUUGAAAUUCACUUUUGUUCACUGGAGAAUUAUCCAAGCUGUGGUACAGGUUUUAUCGUUAUUAUCUAAAGCCCAGGCAUUAAAAUGUAAUUCUUACUUAAUCUGAGCUUUAAAUCUUCACUGUUUGUGUAUUCACUUGGUGAUUCUGGUCUGUACCCGGGGCUGCGCAAGGCACAGCUCUGGCCAAUUGCUGGUGUGCAGGCCUCCUCUCACCUCAGUGUGGACCUCGGUGCAGUACCAGAGCUGCUGUUCUGCUCCAUCCCAACGGAGGCUGCGUCCCCAUCCCGGGACCACUUCCAGCACCAGCAGUUGCUGGCUCAGGGUUGCAGUGGGCUCAGUCCGAGGUCGGCUGCUCUGAGUCCAGAGAUGCACUGUGCAAAGGCCCUGCGGAGGCACAGCAGCCGGGAAUCAGCGAGAGGAGGAGGAGGUGCGUACCCCACCCCAGGAGCACCCUGAGUGGAGAAGAGCUCUAAUGGCCAGCAAGGUAGAGCACUUGAGUCCCUGAGGGAGGCACAGGAAAUGGUCCCUGGGAGGCAGCGCCCCGGUUUUCCAGUGUGGACAUUGAGAAGGGUGCAUCAGGGCGCAAGGGAAUUCACUGCAUUAAGGCAGCAUUAGUGGGGGCCCCACCUCGGAAAAGCGUCUCUCCCCUGUGGCUGGCAUGGUGACACAGCAGGAUGACAAAUGUCUCAUUGUUCCCCCUGGUGCCUUAAUAUUCAGAGGAUGUCUGCUGCCACGUGCUUCUCUGUCCCCUGGUCACCUGGUCACCUCUAACUUCAGGUCACUGCUGUUUCCUAAUGCUGUCUUAGGUCAUUGGCUCAGGUUCGUGCUGGGUGUGCUGGUGCUCAGGAGGAUCACAAGUUCAAGACCAGCCUAGGCGAAGCUUAGCGACAUAAUGAGAACUUGUCUCAAAAUCUAAAAUUUAAAGAGGAGGGGCUGGGGACAUGGGUCAGUGUGAAGGCCCUGAGUCCAAACCCCAGUACCAAAGACAAAGCUAAUUGUAAGCUGAAGUGAGAUUUUCUUCCAAGGUCUGUGACGUGUGCUUACAGACCACAAUGGCCUUGUUGAAGUUUGAAUGAAGCCUAUGCAGUGUGUGUGGAAGAGGCGGGAAGUCCAGAUGGGCGUGGGCACCCACGGCUGCUUCCUGGUCACUGACCCUUAGCUCUAGUUUUCAAGGCUGAGCAUUUCUGUUAGGCCUUAUUUCAGGAAAUACAGAAUGCAAAUUGAUUUUUUUUUUUUUUUCUUUUUGAGAUAGGGUCUCCCUAUGCAGUUCAGGCUGGCAUUGAGCUCACUUUGUAGCCCAGGCUCGUCUCAAACUUGCUACGAACCUCCUGCCUCAGCCUCCCAGGUGCUGGGAUUACAGGCGUGCACCACCACGCCCAGCUGACUUUUUUCCCACUUUUUGCCUUUUCUGAUUAUAUUGAGAUGGUCACCUGCUUUUCCUUGCAUCUGUUUAGAUGUCAGAUUACUUUGACUCCAUUUUGAAUAUUCAACCAAUGUUACAUUCUUAGGAUAACUUUAGUGGUUAUAUAUAACAUCCUUUCAUGUCCCUAGGCUUGAUUUGCUAACCUUCUGUUUCAUAUUUCAUAGUUUAUAUUGAUAGGUCAAAUUAACCCGUAAUUACAUUUUGUUCUUCUGUCCGAGAGGAAUUUAAACAUCAUAUGAUGAGCUUGUGAGUUCUUCUCUGUUUAUGUUUUUAUGUGCCACUAGAAUAUUCUGCUUAUUAAAAUAAUAGUAGAAUUACUUUAAAACCUUCGAGCUGUGGUGUUUUCUCUGUGGUGUUUCCAGGAAUUAUUCAACCUAUGUAUACCUCGGUCAUAGUACUACUUUACAUUUAGUAUCACUUCAUGACUUGCUAUUUUUCCCUAGGCAACUAGCCUGUUAACAGGCUUUCUCACACACUUCGGUGUUGGACCUUAUUACGGAUUCUUUUUUCAUUUGGUACCAGGAGUUGAACUCAGGACCUUCCACUUGCCGAGCAGACACUGGGCCUCUGAGCUGUGUCCCCGGCCCUGGACACUUACCUUCUGAAGUCUACGACUUCUGGAAUAAUUCACCCCUUCACUGUUCGGAUUGGUGUUUGUGCGUUCUCUUCCUCUCCUUUCUCUUUCAUACAUCUCGAGAUUCAAAUAAGCUCUACUGAUUUUUAUUUACUGAUAAGCUCUACCGAUUAUUAUCUGAGUGUUCUCAAAGAACCAAAUGUUCACUUUCUUGGGCUUGUCAUAUGCUGUCUAAUUUCAUUCAUAUCUUUCCCUUCUUACUUAUUUUAUUCUGAGUUUUUCCUGUUUGUUUUGUUGUCUGUUUCUAAUAUCCGGAGAUGAAGUCGACUUUUUUUUCUUUUCUGAAAUAAUAUUUAGGCUAUAAAUAAACCCUCUACGCACUUUUUUGCACUUUUGAGCUAUAUGCUAAAAGUUUUUAAUAUACAGGGUUUUUUAUUACUCAGUUCACAAUUUUUUAAAUUUUAAAAUUUUAAUCAGCAUGUAUAAAUAGGACACAUUUUUAGGACUCACAGUGCAUUUUUACAUGUCUGUUGUAGUCAGGAAAAGGAUUUAACAUAGGAUACAUCAUUUACAGGAUUAUUUUAUCGUAUUCACCCAGGGUCAAAUGCAAAAGAGUGCAGGAGAUCUGUCCACCCACUAGAGACCCAGAGAAUCCAGCCAAGGGCUUGGAUCCCACAGCAAUGUCCUGCAUGAGACCAGCUGAAGACCCAGAGCCCAUGACAGUGCCUCUCAUGAGUCCAGCUGGAGGCCUGGAGCCCACGAUAAUGAUUCAUGCAAGUCUGUUUUACGAUUCUGCACUGGGAAGGAUCCAAGGGUGUAACUUUACUGGAGCUCCCUUGCUGGCCAAACUCACCAUGUUUUGAAACAUCUUGGUGGGAUCUUCACUCUUCAGUCUCAAGCUAGAUUUGGCUAAAAGCAGCCAUGCCACCACUCAACAUCCGACUGCCUGGAAAUUUCUUCUGCAAGAUCAAUUAGUCUGCCACCCUUAAUCUCAGUCUCAGGCAAAGUCUCUGCACAGAAGCAGAAUGCAUACAAACUUUCUGCCAAGCCACAACACACAUAGUUUGGAGUCUAAGAGCCAGAGCAAUACUUCUUCCCAGUGGAAACCUCCAGAGCCUGGUCUUUCCUGCCAGGAUUUCUCUCAGCCUUCUGGUCUUCUGAGCUCUAGGCAGUGUCUCCUAUCAAGUACAGUCUAAGGCAUCCCAGCCCUACUUUUUCAUCUUUCCGGACUCUUUUUCUUCCCACCAGCCAGUUCCAAAGGCUCCUGAACCACACGGUCAGGCAUAGCCACAGCAACAACCCAAAUUCUGUCUUAGUUACUUUUCUCUGCAGGCCAAGACAAAGUAGCUGAUACCCAAAGCCAAAGGGGAAAAGAGCAUUUAGCUCACAGUUUGUAGAGGUUUUACUCUAUCAUUGGCUGGCUUCUAAGACAGGGUGGCACAGCAGAGGAGAAACAAUUCAUGGUGGGCAAAAGUCAGCAAAGCAAGGCACAAGACAAGCCUCUUCCUGUCCCUUGCGUCAUGUGCAGGUUGCGGGAUUAGGGUGGUGCUAACCCAGCCCGUGGACUGACUCAGUAAUCCCUCACCCUGAACCCCAGCACUGCACCAGGAAUCAACUGCACACUCUAGAUCCAGCCACCUCCAAAAGAGACCCACUGGUGACCAAAGGAGGCUUUGGGGGGACAUUGAGACACAGCCACAACUCUUGUGAGUGCAAGUUGACCAUCUGUGCUCGGAGUUCUGGCCUUGUGAGGGCUCCCAAGGGGCCCCGGGUAGUCCUGGUCACCAGCAGCCCCACCCUGCUGCGUGACCACACCACGUGGUCACCUGCUGGGCACCAGGCUUGCUCCGGCCUUGGCUCUGAAGUCACACAGCUCUGUGAGACCUGCUUUCCACUCGAGGCCACAGGGCAAUGGCUCAUUUAGCUCCCUGAGGAACUGCCUGACAGCAGUCAAAGUAUCUCUGUCCUGAGGCUUGUUUCAAAAUGUUUUAUUAAUGUAAGAAUGUUCACUGUUUUUUAUCAUAUCUCUGGUGUAUGUCAGUUUCCAUUUUUAACUUUCAGCCUAUUUAAAUACAUACUUUUUUAUCCAGCCUGAAAAUCUUUGUCUUGUCUCCAUCUGUCUUUUGAGACAGGGACUCACUAUGUAGCCCAGGUUGGCCUUGACUCACAGCGA